rnacentral:rRNA from 1 species
UACGUAGGGACCAAGCGUUGUUCGGAUUUACUGGGCGUAAAGCGUGCGUAGGUGGUUUGUUAAGUCUGAUGUGAAAGCCCUGGGCUCAACCUGGGAAUGGCAUUGGAUACUGGCGAGCUAGAGUGCGGUAGAGGAUGGCGGAAUUCCCGGUGUAGCAGUGAAAUGCGUAGAGAUCGGGAGGAACAUCUGUGGCGAAGGCGGCCAUCUGGACCAGCACUGACACUGAGGCACGAAAGCGUGGGGAGCAAACAGG